CUCAACCUCCGCACAACCGCCGUCGCAUACAUCCCUCGCGAACUAGUCGUUGCUGAUCCGAGAUCGUCACAGCUGUUGCACUACAUCGUCCGUCUAGCUCCGUCGCCGCGCUACUCCGUCGUGACCAUCGCCACAUCGUUCAGGUAAUCGGGGGAAACAGGGAUGGCAGUUGUGGUUCACGGUCGAGAACAAGCUGAAUGGUGGAUAAGAGAACACGAGUGACU
rnacentral:lncRNA from 1 species